rfam:Oryza barthii chromosome 3, whole genome shotgun sequence.
AAUAAAUCUGUUCAUAUCCAACGUUUGACCGUUCGUCUUAUUUGAAAUUUUUUUAUGACUACUACUUUUAUUGUUAUUAGAUGAUAAAACAUGAAUAAUACUUUACCUGUAACUAAUUUUUUAAAUAUUUUUCAUAAAUUUUUUAAAUAAGACGGAUGGUCAAAACGAUGAACACGGAUAUCUAUGGCUGCAUUUAUU